rnacentral:rRNA from 1 species
AUUGAACGCUGGCGGCAUGCCUUACACAUGCAAGUCGAACGGUAACAGGUCUUCGGAUGCUGACGAGUGGCGAACGGGUGAGUAAUACAUCGGAGCGUGCCCGAUCGUGGGAGAUAACGGAGCGAAAGCUUUGCUAAUACCGCAUACGAUCUACGGAUGAAAGCAGGGGACCGCAAGGCCUUGCGCGGACGGAGCGGCCGAUGGGAGAUUAGGUAGUUGGCGGGAUAAAAGCUUACCAAGCCGACGAUCUGUAGCUGGUCUGAGAGGAGGACCAUCAACACUGGGGCUGAGACACGGCCCAGACUCCGACGGGAGGCAGCAGUGGGGAAUUUUGGACAAUGGGCGAAAGCCUGAUUCAGCCAUGCCGCGUGCAGGAUGAAGGCCUUCGGGUUGUAAACUGCUUUUGUACGGAGCGAAAAAGGUCUUUCUAAUAAAGAGAGCUCAUGACGGUACCGUAAGAAUAAGCACCGGCUAACUACGUGCCAGCAGCCGCCGUAACAC